rnacentral:rRNA from 1 species
CGACCCCAGGUCAGGCGGGACUACCCGCUGAGUUUUA